GACGAACGCUGGCGGCGCGCUUAACACAUGCAAGUCGAGCGAAGCGGCGGACGGGCGAGGAACACGUGAGUAACCUGCCUUAGACAUUGGGAUAGCCUCGGGUAACAGGGAUUAAUACGAAAUGGUCUAGGAUGGACUCGGGUCGCAUUAGCUAGUUGGGAGGUAACGGCCCAACAAGGCGACGAUGGGUAGCCGGCCUGGGAGGGUGAACGGCAACAUUGGAACUGCGACACGGUCCAAACUCUACGGGAGGGAGCAGUGGGGGAUAUUGCACUGUGGAGGGAACUCUGAUGGAGCGACGCCGCGUGAACGAAGAAGGCUUUCGAGUCGUAAAGUUCUUUUAUAUGGGAAGCGGUACCAUAAGAAAAAGCCCCGGCUAACUACGUGCCAGCAGCCGCGGUAAUAC
rnacentral:rRNA from 1 species